UACGGGGGGUGCAAGCGUUACUCGGAAUCACUGGGCGUAAAGAGCAUGUAGGCGGAUUAAUAAGUUGGAAGUGAAAUCCUAUAGCUUAACUAUAGAACUGCUUCCAAAACUGUUGAUCUAGAAUAUGGGAUAGGUAGAUGGAAUUUCUGGUGUAGGGGUAAAAUCCGUAGAGAUCAGAAGGAAUACCGAUUGCGAAGGCGAUCUACUGGAACAUUAUUGACGCUCAGAUGCGAAAGCGUGGGGAGCAAACAGGAUUAGAUACCCUGGUAGUCCACGCCCUAAACGAUGUACACUAGUUGUUGCUAUACUAGAUAUGGCAGUAAUGCAGUUAACACAUUAAGUGUACCGCCUGGGGAGUACGGUCGCAAGAUUAAAACUCAAAGGAAUAGACGGGGACCCGCACAAGCGGUGGAGCAUGUGGUUUAAUUCGACGAUACGCGAAAAACCUUACCUGGCCUUGACAUAGUAAGAACUUUCUAGAGAUAGAUUGGUGCUAGCUUGCUAGAGCUUACAUACAGGUGCUGCACGGCUGUCGUCAGCUCGUGUCGUGAGAUGUUGGGUUAAGUCCCGCAACGAGCGCAACCCACGUGAUUAGUUGCUAACGGUUCGGCCGAGAACUCUAAUCAGACUGCCUUCGUAAGGAGGAGGAAGGUGUGGACGACGUCAAGUCAUCAUGGCCCUUACGGCCAGGGCUACACACGUGCUACAAUGGGAUAUACAAAGAGCAGCAAUACCGCGAGGUGGAGCAAAUCUAGAAAAUAUCUCCCAGUUCGGAUUGUUCUCUGCAACUCGAGAACAUGAAGUUGGAAUCGCUAGUAAUCGUAGAUCAGCAUUGCUACGGUGAAUACGUUCCCGGGUCU
rnacentral:rRNA from 1 species